rnacentral:rRNA from 1 species
GUGCCAGCAGCCGCGGUAAUACGUAAGUGGCGAGCGUUAUCCGGAAUCACUGGGCGUAAAGCGUUCGUAGGCGGUGCGGCAAGUUGGAAUUGAAAUCCCGGGGCUCAACUCCGGAUCCGGUUCCAAAACUGCCGCGCUGGAGCAGAUCAGAGGGCAGUGGAAUUCCCGGUGUAGCGGUAAUAUGCGUAGAUAUCGGGAGGAACACCAGUGGCGAAGGCGGCUGCCUGGGGUCUUGCUGACGCUGAGGAACGAAAGCCAGGGGAGCGAACGGGAUUAGAUACCCCGGUAGUCCUGGCUGUAAACGAUGGUCACUAGGUGUCGGGGGCUUCGACCCCCUCGGCGCCGCCGCUAACGCAUUAAGUGACCCGCCUGGGGAGUACGGCCGCAAGGUUAAA